AUGUAUUAGAUUGAGGCAAAAGUAAUUGCCAUUUUUGCAAUUGAAAGUAAUGGCAAAAACCACAAUUACUUUCGCACCAACCUAAUAGA
ensembl:miRNA